GUUCAUUUGGAGGUAAAUGGGGGGCUGAGUGACGUCAUCGCUAUAAAUUAAAUGUGUAAUAUCUACGAAACCGUAGCAGCAGAAACGAAAGUUUUUGCAGCACAAACCAGCACAAACGAACCACAAACGAACGGUACCA